rnacentral:rRNA from 1 species
AUUGAACGCUGGCGGAAUGCUUUACACAUGCAAGUCGAACGGCAGCACGGACUUCGGUCUGGUGGCGAGUGGCGAACGGGUGAGUAAUGUAUCGGAACGUGCCCAGUCGUGGGGGAUAACGUAGUGAAAAUUACGCUAAUACCGCAUACGAUCUAUGGAUGAAAGCGGGGGAUAGCAAGACCUCUCGCGAUUGGAGCGGCCGAUAUCAGAUUAGGUAGUUGGUGGGGUAAAGGCCCACCAAGCCAACAAUCUGUAGCUGGUCUGAGAGGACGACCAGCCACACUGGAACUGAGACACGGUCCAGACUCCUACGGGAGGCAGCAGUGGGGAAUUUUGGACAAUGGGCGAAAGCCUGAUCCAGCCAUUCCGCGUGCAGGAUGAAGGCCCUCGGGUUGUAAACUGCUUUUGUACAGAACGAAAAGGUUUCUACUAAUACUAGGAGCUCAUGACGGUACUGUAAGAAUAAGCACCGGCUAACUACGUGCCAGCCGCCGCGGUAA